rnacentral:rRNA from 1 species
CAGGCCUUGACAUCCAAUGAACUUUCCAGAGAUGGAUUGGUGCCUUCGGGAACAUUGAGACAGGUGCUGCAUGGCUGUCGUCAGCUCGUGUCGUGAGAUGUUGGGUUAAGUCCCGUAACGAGCGCAACCCUUGUCCUUAGUUACCAGCACGUAAUGGUGGGCACUCUAAGGAGACUGCCGGUGACAAACCGGAGGAAGGUGGGGAUGACGUCAAGUCAUCAUGCCCCUUACGGCCUGGGCUACACACGUGCUACAAUGGUCGGUACAGAGGGUUGCCAAGCCGCGAGGUGGAGCUAAUCUCACAAAACCGAUCGUAGUCCGGAUCGCAGUCUGCAACUCGACUGCGUGAAGUCGGAAUCGCUAGUAAUCGCGAAUCAGAAUGUCGCGGUGAAUACGUUCC